rnacentral:rRNA from 1 species
GACGUAGGAGGCGAGCGUUGUCCGGAUUCAUUGGGCGUAAAGAGCACGCAGGCGGUUUGGCAAGUCGGAUGUGAAAACCCGAAGCUCAACUUCGGGCCUGCAUCCGAAACUGCCCGACUAGAGGUAGGUAGGGGAGAUCGGAAUUCCUGGUGUAGCGGUGAAAUGCGCAGAUAUCAGGAGGAACACCGGUGGCGAAGGCGGAUCUCUGGGCCUGUUCUGACGCUGAGGCGCGAAAGCUAGGGGAGCGAACAGG